rnacentral:lncRNA from 1 species
AUGCUGGACAACACAAAGGUGUAUGUGGAGCUCGGUGUGGCGAAGGUGCAGAACGCAACCGAACCCCAGAAAGCACACAGGGUUUCGAGGGAUGAGAAUGGCUUCAUCAGCACCAGUGUUUCCAGUCCAGAUGAGGAGGACCAGGCCGGAUCUCCAUCGGAGUCUGACCACAGCGUCAGGAGGCUCAGUCUGACGGGUAUAUCGGAGUCGUCUGGGACGUCCCGCAGUGCUCUGGUGUCUCCAGUGGAUGAUCGUCAGUCCUUGUCGUCGCGCCGCAGCACCGGUCAGGCCUUGUGCUCCUGCAUUCGGGCCGGAUCAGUGGCGACUCUGCGCUGUCUGGAGGAAACACCGCUCAUGUUGUCUGGACUGCUGUUAACUCUUCUCUUCUGCGUCACCAUGAUUAUUAUCAUCCCCGCCACCGGCAGGAGUCUGGUGGUCCACGUUGCAGCGUUUGCGGUGGUGUGUGUGUCGGUGUGUGUGUGCAUGUCUCUGCUGCUGUGUUUGCCGUGUCUGCCUGUUUUCCGGCGUGGAGAAACGCAGCUGGCGCUGGUCAUCUGGUUCCUCCUCUUCAUCAUCGCCUUCGUCUUCGUCUUCACCGGAGGCACCGUCACCGCCUGGGAGCAGGUCAGAUGCAUUCGAUUCUUCAUUUGUCUCUAUUAAACUCAACGCAAGCAAACAAAAUAAGAACACAACUAAAAUCAAGACAACAGGCUAGCAUAAAACCACAGCAAUCAGAUCUCUUCAGCUCACAUCAGCUGCGUUUAAUUAGUGAUUUGCUUUUCUCAAACUCAAAGCCCUAUUCAAGAGAUGUAUGAGGUAGCUGUUGUGAAGAAAGCUAAGUUAAUUGUUUUCCUCUGUGCCGACUGCUAACAAAUUACAGAACAGGGAUGUUUACUUAAAGGUGCAGUAGGUGAUCUAGAAUAAUGCUAACGUUAGCUUAAUAGCAUUGAAAAUUCAAGUCCCUUCCUGCCAUGAACGUGCACCGAAUUGAUGACCACAGACAGCCUUAUAACACUAGGGGCUCUAGUUUUUAACAAUCUAGGUGCAAAGUCUAAAGCUCAUGGCGCAAAAGCAUUAAGGGCGUGUCUGAAUCCACUUUUAUUGUAAGGAUGGAGAAAUCCGCUCUGCGCCUGGUGCAUGGUCUAACAGGGCUGUGCUUUUUCUCUUAUGAGUUCUGGGUGUGUUUUGAGCAUAACCUGCAUUAAACCAAUCAGAGUCUCGUCUCUCAUUCCUUUUAAGAGUCAGUUGUGUCGCUCCA